rnacentral:lncRNA from 1 species
GAAUACAUGUUUAUGGGAUGUCGUUCAUCUACUGACUCUGUUUCGGUUAGUAUAAAACGGACAUGACUGUUGCUUUUAUUUGGAUGUUUCUAACAGCAUAAAUAGUUACAUUGAUCUUACAUUGUGUAAUAAUGUUGUUACGGCUGUCAUCCCUCAUGAUAUACCUAUUUUGUUUGUCUUAUACAAUGAUUUGGUCCAUACGAAACUCGUAGACGCAUUCAAUGAGCCAGACAGUGAAUGGCCCUCCAAACGCUAUUGCUCCGAAUAUCGAUGAAAGUGAAAUGGUAUGUAUAUAUUCAGUAGUUAAAAUAAAGACCUUCUUAUUCGUGUAGUAGAGCUACCUUUUUUUUAGGGUUAAUAUCAGAAACCUCCCUUGAGAUUUCUUCUAAUCACACCUAGAACCCCUCAUGUUUUCGAAAUCACACUUAGCACCCCUGGAAUGACAACUUUGGUAUCAUUGUCCGCCCCUCAUUAUUUUUGUUCCACUUUUAUCCUCCUUAUGAACUCUAUUUAUGUAACUCACAUCCCUCCACGCAAAGGUAACACUACAAAAUCGUUCUUAAGCAGUGUAACAUAUUUUGAACAUUUUGUAAUUUUAUGUAAGCUUGUUGUACAUCUUUAUAAUAGAUUGCAUUUCUGUUAUUAAGUUUUACAAAUAAUUCACAUAAAGUUGUACAUUGUUUAAAAAAUGUUACAUUGAUCUGAACGGUGAUAAAAAAAAUGUGACUAUGGAUUGUCAUAAUGGCAGCAAUAGUUUCAUUAUGUGAUUGUAGUUGUAAAUCAACUUGCUCUUCCAUUUUUAUGAAAAUGAGGUCGUAUAAAUAGUUUUUUGUGCAUUCUAGUCGAAUGGAGUUUGUAAGUUAUUAAUGUUGCGAUACCCUAUUAUCAAGUAAAAAUGGAUUGCUAAUGUUAUAUACUCAUGAAUUUCCAUCAUCUUUAAACUACUUUUAGAUUAUGUUAUUAUUCACUUAGAAAUUGCAAUUUUGGCAAUGGCACUAUAUCCAUUGCCAAAAGUCAACGUCACUGGAAACUCUAUAGCUAUUUAAUAUUAGGGAGUGGGAUAAGAACAAUUGUUAGAUCAACCAUCCCUAAAUCGUGUAAUAUUUUUUGAACAUUUUGUAAUUUUAUGUAAAUUUCUUGUACAUCGUUACAAUAGAAGUCUGAUAAGUUGUUAUUGUACAUAUGAGUCCAAUAUGUAAUAAUCGUAUUUGUGUUGAUAAAUUUUACAAAUAGUUCAAUUAGAAUUACACUUUGUACAAAAAAUAUUACAUAAUUACAUAAUAGUUUUACAUCAUUUAGGGAAAAUCUCAAGGGAGGUUUCCGAAAUUAACUCUACAUAAAUAGAGUUCACAAGGAGGGUAAAAGUGGAACAAAAAUAAUGAGGGGCGGACAAUGAUACCAAAGUUGUCAUUCCAGGGGUGCUAUGUGUGAUUUCGAAAACAUGAGGGGGUUGUAGGUGUGAUUAGAAGAAACCUCAAGGGAGGUUUCUGAGAUUAACCCUUUUUUUAUAGUAUUGUAAUGGGGAUACGGGGCAGGAGCGGUUCUCUCCUUGUAAUGGUGGGCACCCGAAAGCUGUCAAAUCAUGCCUAAUUGUGUAGUUAACGUAUGCUCGCUUUAAUAACAUAUUAUUUUUUAUUAUUCGAAGGUUCACCGUUUGGCUAAUCAGGGACCUCCUACAAGUGUCCCUACAGAAUAGAUGCAUCCCAAAUUUUCUAUUUUGUUCAAGUAUAACUCUGUUAGAGAUGUCUUAAUGGUCCGAUAUAUCAUUUUCAUUAUAAUGUCUAGUCCAAUUUAACUUUAUAAGUGAGCAAUAUUGGCAUUGGUAAUGAUUUGUUGACAGUCGAUUACUUAUACUAUGUAAUGUAGGAGGAGCGUGCAGCACUUUUAACACACUGUGAUGUUGAUGCAUAUCAUGUAUUUGCACCUUCACCCCAGGUGAUAAACUUUUAUCGUUGCAACACAUAUUUAUGUACUGUUGUUAAUUGGAGACUUGGACAUCGUAUAUCAUUAAUCGUAUGUUUCAUUGAUAAUAUUGCUGAUUCACCAUCGUUACGCAUUUCAGGGAAGAAAUAACACCCAGGGAUUGCAACUUCACGUUGACGUCGCCUCCCCCGAUAAUGAGAUUGAUGAAUGAUGUGUAACUAUAUUUUUUGAACGAGACAUUAAGUGGUUGUCCCAACUUAGGAAUACUGCAUAUGUACGUGUUACAAGCAGUUAAUAGGGUGUUAUAACUUAUUGACGAGGUUGUACAGGCACCAUUGAUAUUUCACUUUUUCAAAUUUAGACAAGUGGAUUACAAUUGUAAUCA